rnacentral:rRNA from 1 species
GACGAACGCUGGCGACGUGGAUUAGGCAUGCAAGUCGAACGGUAUCAUCCUUUCGGGGGUGAGAGAGUGGCGAACUGGUGAGUAACACGUAGGUUAUCUACCCUCAAGACGGGGGACAACCCAGGGAAACUUGGGGCUAAUACCGGAUGUGAGCAACUUUUAGUUGUUUGAAAGGUGGCGUAAGCUGUCGCUUGGGGAUGAGCCUGCGUCCUAUUAGUUAGUUGGUGAGGUAACGGCUCACCUAGGCAAUGAUAGGUAGGCGGCCUUAACGGGUGGUCGCCCACACUGGGAUUGAGAUACGGCCCAGACUCCUACGGGGAGGCAGCAGUCGAGAAUAGUCUACAAUGGUCGGAAGACUGAUAGUGCGACGCCGCGUGAACGAUGAAUCCCUUCGGGGUGUAAAGUUCUUUUAUAUGUGAGCAGUGCUUCUUAUAUUAACAGUAUGGGGAAGAGAUAUUAGCAUAUGAAUAAGCAACGGCUAACUCCGUGCCAGCAGCCGCGGU